ensembl:lncRNA
GUAAACAUAAGUUAUCUAUUUCAUUUGACCAUUAGUAUUGUUGAUAAAUUGAGGAACAUUUGUGUUGGGUAAAAAGUGAGUGAACACAUCAGCAUCUACCUCAACAUGUAAAUGCAGUAUAUCACAGAUAAAUCACAGAGGAGACUGACUCUUGUCUGGAUGUUACAGGGACAGAUGAGACACACGUGUGUUUAUCUGCUGAAGAGAGACUGAUGAAGGAAUGCUGUCAUCAAAGACUCUCAGUAACAGCAGGAUUUGUGGAAAAAGUAAAACCUGAAACCAAAAUAUAAAGAUCUGAAAUGUCUGCAGACUGCUGUGUGCACUGAGGAUGGAGAAGUCCACAGCAGCAUCCUGGAAAUGGUCCAGUGUCAUGGGUAAGAUGCUCCAUCACUCCACCUGCUCUUGUUUUCUCAUCAGGACCGGAUGCUGCUGUGGUCUCUUCAUCCUCAGUGAGCCCAGAGCCAGCGAGAGGAUCUAGAGAAAGACCAAAAGACACUGAGGAUGUGAUUUUGGUCAAGUUUGUUAUGCUGGUUUCUGUUCAUACAACAUCAGUCAAUAAAACCUGAGUUUCAGAAAAGCAUCAUCAAAUAAUGUCAUGAAGAAUCUGAGCUAUGCAAGCAAUGCAAUAUCGCGUUCAUUAUCGCAGAUGAAUUGCCUUCGAUAAUGAACGCGAUAUUGUGUAGCUUGUCAGUGAACUACGGCUCUGUCUAUUAAAUGCCGCUCCAUUUGAAAGCAGGUGAUGGCAAUUUAGCGGUAAUCAGGGAACUGGCUUUACUGACGAAAUGUGCGUGACAAUCACAUGCAAUAAAUUGCCCAGCCCUAACACAAGGAUUGAAAAGAAUAGAGGCAAGUAAAUAAUGACUGAAUUUAUAUGUUUAGAUGAACUAACCCUUUAAAGCCCCAAAUAGAAACUGUAUGAAAUAUAUGCAUGCAUUAAUAUUAUAGUAGUACCUUUCUUAAGCAUUUAUUGAGCGUUUGUGCCCAAGACACAAAUAAGCAUUUACAAAAAUCACAUGUACAUGUAUUAAUUUGGCAGAGACUUUUAUCUUAAGUGACUUACAGUGCUCUUAUUACAGGGACCUCAAUCCUGUAAUCCCUGAGUCACCUGGAGUAAAGACACACCGGUGGAGACGACUGCAGAGAUUGAUCCAGCAACCUUCUGCUGACCAGUUCAGUUCACUACCCCACAAAAGUAGUGUGGUGCUCAUGGAGAGCAGCACACAGAUGUUUGGAGCAGACACAGCAGCAGUCAGAUUGUCCCACACAUGUUCUCCUGAUCUUGAUUCAGGGUUGUGUGUUUUAGGAUCUUCAUCAUGGUCUUCCUGAUCCUCUCUGUGCACUCAGACAAGGACAGCCUCGAUGUCCCUCUCUCAUCCAUGAUCAGAUUCAGUCUGACUGCAGCAGUGAGGGACGUGAUGGACGGAUGUGGAUUCACCGUCUGUAAACUUUCAAAAACAGAACAAUGUUUGAAAAAAACUUUGUUUCAAAAUACAGAUAGUAGAUAUUAAACCUGUCGCAGUCAGUCAUAUCUGUGAAGUUGUUGCACUUGUUAUGACGUCAUAGGUCACAUGAUAACGUAAACAUGGCGGAUCGCAUUCAUACUCAACGAGAUUUGGCUUUAGAGUAUGUACUCUUUUAGCGCUCGUUAAGUACUUACUGAAAUUAAGUACCUACUCAUUGAGUAUGUGAUUUCGGACGCAGCCAGAGAGUCCUCGGAUGUUCUUCUUGUUCUUCUUCUUGGUUUUAAUGGCGGUUGGCAUACAAUGUCAAGGUGCAUUACCGCCUCCUGCUGGUUAUGAGUGUUGGCCAAGAUCGCAUAACCCUUUUCCUAAUACCUCCUAAAAACCUAUAUUCUUUUAAAAUUCUUCUAAAUCAGUCAUUUACAGAUAUAACAUUAAAAAUCAAUACAUUCAUCAUUCAUCUUAUUUUUUUUUCAAAUGAAAAAACAAUAUUCUCCUUUCACUAUUAUAUUUAGGACAUUUAAUUAUAAUGUGUUCCACAGUUUCCUUUUGAUUAAUGUUCACAUUUUCCUGUCUGAUGUUUAUGUUUUUGUUCUUUUUCUUUUUUCUUCUUCUUUUAAGGUUUUAUUGAUGGUUGACAAACAACGAAAUGGUGAAUUACCACCACUGACAGGCAUGGAGUGUGGAUCAGCUUUCCCUUGUCUUCUUAUAUCAUCUCACAAAUUAGUUUAUGUAUCUUUGUUCUCUAUUUUAUAUCUUCUCACAAAUUGGUUAUUUUAUGAUACUGAAGCAGAAAACUACAACAAUUAUUUCCUGAAUUGUUUUGUAGAAUAUCAACUGGAUUAAAAUGCAUUUAUAUCUGUAAGAUUGCACCCUGCUAACACACGGCAUAUAGUUACGUAAUGUAUUGAUACUUUUGGGUAAUUUCAUGACUUACUGGCAACGUAACUGCAACAUCGCAUGGGCGUAAUUUCAUUACCAUCAUUUACACAUUUUUCAUAUGCUCUUAUUACUAAACAAUUGCUAUUUUAAAAGUGUAAUUAGACG